rnacentral:lncRNA from 1 species
CCCAGGCUGAAAGGCAGUGAUGCAAUCCUAGCUCACUGUAAUAUUGAACUCCUGAACUCAACCAAUCGUCCUGCCUCAUCCUCUCCAGUAACUAGGACCACAGAGUAUUGCCCUGUCGCCCAGGCUGGAAUGCAAUGGCACGAUCUCAGCUCACUGCAACCUCUGCCUCCCAGGUUCAAACAAUUGUCCUGCCUCAAUCUCCCGAGUAACUGGAUUACAGGUGUCCGCCACCACGCUCAGCUAAUUUUUGUGUUUUUAGUAGAGACAGCAUUUCACCAUGUUGGCCAGGCUGGUCUCGAACUCCUGACCUCGUGAUCCACCCGCCUCAGCCUCCCAAAGUGCUGGGAUUACAGGUGUGAGCCACCGCGCCUGGCCCUAAAACUUCUUACUGAAAUUAGUCUAGUAUUGACAGUAACUAGAUACAUAGAGACUGAGUUGUAGUCUGUAUGUCAGAGUUAUGUGUAUUCCAAUCAGCUCUCUCUAUAAUUGGUACUUCAUAAUGCAAAUGCUAAACUGAGUCUGGAGUUUUCAGAGUUGUAUAGUCUCUGACAAAAUGCCCCUCAUUUGUUUUUAUUAUUGUGUUCAUGGACUAUAUAUUAUGUACUAAUGCCCAAUAUGUUCCUGAUUUUAAGUGAAGCCAUUUAUCUUAUUUAUUUUCAAUCCAUUUAUAACAUAUUGUUAAUUUAAAAAUAUCUUCAGGACAACUGGUUGAGUUAGGAGGAAAUGUGCCUGGGACUCCAGGGGAUGUUUCUAGAUAGAGAAGUAGAAUUUUGGCCUGAGCACAUUUUUGUGGCUUAGAUUGAUACUGUCUUCUUCAGUGUUUAUUUCCUGAAUUAAUCCUGAUUGCUCAAAACACAGUUAAUUUUCCUGUUGUUUUUUGUCUGCCUCUCCGGUCUAGACUGGAAAUAUGUCUUCUCUAAACAUUUGGUAAAUAGCCCAACCUGAAACUCCUUUACCAAAUCUAUAUACAGCAUUUCCCCAGGAAAAAUACUAAAUUUGACCACUAUACCCAAAAGGAAAAUCUUAGCAACCUUUCCAAAUUUAAACAUUAUGAUUUUUCCAACAAGGAUCUUUGGAAGCAAAGAUGUAUGGAGUUUGCAUAUUUUGGUUUACAGAAACUCAAACUGAAAUUUGAUUCACCUUACUUUUCAUUAAGUACAAGGAAGAGAAUAAUCCAGGCUUUUCCUAGAAUUAAAUAUAAUCUCUUUCCAACUGUAUUCUGUGAAUUUAAAAGCACUUCAAGUGAUUAAAAAUAACUUUGUAUCUAUAACUCAGUCACAGUGCAUAUGAUCACAGCACAGCUGACUUUUAUCACAUGUGAUAUCUUACAAAUAAAUGGCCUUGUCUGUGAGAGAGAGGAAUUUUAGAUUUAUAAAAUUGAAGAUUAAAACUAAGCAAAUUCCAGGUUCUAUUUUAAAGUCUGUGCUUUAGCAAAAUACUUUCCAAGUAAUGUUGAUUAGAGAGCAAUGCAUAUUCAACUAGUUUAAGAUUUUUUUAUUUGCAUUGAUGGUUUUGCUCAUUUAAAAACACAGUUUAGUACUUUAGUCCAGGUUAUAAUCUAUAUUAUUAGAGCUAUAGAUUACUUGAAAAUUAAAUAUUACUUUUAUCACUCAUUAUUAUUGUUAAACUUGAAAACUUUACACAGUAUAAGAAUUGGUUCAUUAGAGAGAGGGAUGGAUUACUUUGUGGUCUCUCAUGCAAAUUAUGUGUGUUUGCAUCUUUCUAAAUGUACCGGGGAGGCUAUUUUAAUAAUGUUUGGAAAUGAAGAUUUUGGAAAAAGGGAAAGGAGCUAAUAACUAUUCAGUCUUGUGUUAAAUUAACAUUAGAAAAAGCUCCUGGAAUUUGAGUGGAUUUAUGAACUAUAAAAAUAUUCAAUUUUUGAGAUGGAUUGACCUAUACCUCACAAUUUUAAGAGUUUGAUUUUGAACACCUUAGUAAAAUUAAACUUCUCCUGAUCACAGCAUUUUGUAUUACUAAAAGAUGUACAAAUACAGUAAUGUUUAGAAUUGUUGCUCUAUAUAUUAAAUAGCAUUUGAAAAAUAUUUUUCAAAUGGACAUAUUUUACUUGACUUUUAAUUAAAUUUUGUAUGUGGUAGUAGUCAUGACUAUAAAUAGUUUGCCUGCAUGACAGUUGUUGGCAUACUUCUAUGAAUAGCCCAGAAUCCCCAUACAAAAUAGAUACAGUCACCAAGAUAAGCAUAACGGAAAGACUACAGGCAUCAUCUUCAAUACAAUUAUAUAAUAAACUAUGCUGAUGUAAGUGGGGUCAAACAAAAAACAGUAAUAAAAG